rnacentral:rRNA from 1 species
UAGUCCACGCCGUAAACGAUGUCUACUAGCCGUUGGACUCCUUGAGGGUUUAGUGGCGCAGCUAACGCAUUAAGUAGACCGCCUGGGGAGUACGGUCGCAAGAUUAAAACUCAAAUGAAUUGACGGGGGCCCGCACAAGCGGUGGAGCAUGUGGUUUAAUUCGAAGCAACGCGAAGAACCUUACCUACUCUUGAAAUCCAGUGAAUUUGUCAGAGAUGACUUAGUGCCUUCGGGAACACUGAGACAGGUGCUGCAUGGCUGUCGUCAGCUCGUGUUGUGAAAUGUUGGGUUAAGUCCCGUAACGAGCGCAACCCCUAUCCUUAGUUGCCAGCGAGUAAUGUCGGGGACUCUAAGGAGACUGCCGGUGACAAACCGGAGGAAGGCGGGGAUGACGUCAAGUCAUCAUGGGCCCUUACGAGUAGGGGCUACACACGUGCUACAAUGGCGCAUACAGACGGUUGCGAAGGAGCGAUCUGGGAGCUAAUCUGAGAAAGUGCGUCGUAGUCCGGGA